rnacentral:lncRNA from 1 species
UUAAAACAAAUAUCAAUGCUCGGUGUGAGUGUGAACGCCUAAACUGUGCUUCAGAGAAGAAAUACUUCUUCAGUGUGCUCGGAGUAGUUAUCAACACAAUGAUUCUGCAACUUCAAUAACCAAAACAAAGUCAUGGAAACACCGGCUGGCAACUCUAGUUCACCCAUCAAAAAUAGAAAUAAGAAUGCAUCUCAUACAAACAAGCAUUGUUC